ACCUGAGCUUUUAACACUUAGCUGACACUUGGGAACCAGUGGUUGGUUGUUGGCAGAAGUAGUCAUGUGCCACAGAGAUUGUCUCUAUUGGGUUCAUUGCUCUCUGCUCUCUGGCUAUGACAUUAUGACCAGCUGCUCAAGUUCCUGCUGCUGUCAGUUCCCCCCUACAUGGAUUGUAUCGCAAAACUGUAGGGCCAAUGAGAACACUCAUUAGGCAGGGGUGCCUGAUACCUGAGUUUGCUCCCCAAGACCCACGUGGUGGAAGAAGAUAGCCAUCUACAAGUUGUCCUCUGACCUCCAGGAGCCUGCCAUGUGCACAGAGAACCAACAAGAAGCAAGUCAAGUCGCACGGAGAAAAGCGGUCCUUCGCAGCGACAGCACUGCUGAACUCAGGUGUUGACUGUGAAGCGUCAAAUCCCAGAGAAGAUCGUCAGUCUGGCCUUGGGAGGUGUACGCAGCCCCCGCAAGGGAAUCCUCAGAGGAAGCAGUAGUGGUUUUUCAACAUUUGUUUGUUUUCUUGCCUUUGAAGAGCCUACAUGAGUGUUCAGCCAUUCCUGGCCCGAGUUCAGAAUAGGAACUGUUGGUUUUCUGAGCCUUUUCGUCCUUCUCCAAACCACCAGUUUUAUGGGUUUGGCUUCAUAACCAAUAACUCUUUUCACAACAUUAAAAAUGUGUGCAUAAUAAAAAAAAGACAAGAUAAAAAAAUGUGUGCAUAAGAUGACCGCACUGUACCUUUAAAGAAGUGAGAAGACUUUUUAAAAAAAAGAAUGGCUUAGAGAGUGAAGAUAUUCACUGCUGAGCAUACAAUAUACUCUGAUCAUAUUUGCCUCCACUCCUCUUCAUGUGCCCUCCUAGAUCCACCCCCAUCCCUGUCCCUGUCCCCAUCCCCAUCCCCAUCCAAACACUGUCUCCUCUUAUUUUCUUUUUGUGUACCUCACCUGGUCCAGUCUGUGUUGCCCAUACCCUCACAAGCCUGGGCCUCUCACUGGGGUAAGGCCAACCUACCAGAGAUCUCACCAUUAAAGAAAAGUCCUUCCCC